GAUGAACGCUGGCGGCGUGCCUAAUACAUGCAAGUCGAGCGAACGGACGAGAAGCUUGCUUCUCUGAUGUUAGCGGCGGACGGGUGAGUAACACGUGGAUAACCUACCUAUAAGACUGGGAUAACUUCGGGAAACCGGAGCUAAUACCGGAUAAUAUUUUGAACCGCAUGGUUCAAAAGUGAAAGACGGUCUUGCUGUCACUUAUAGAUGGAUCCGCGCUGCAUUAGCUAGUUGGUAAGGUAACGGCUUACCAAGGCAACGAUGCAUAGCCGACCUGAGAGGGUGAUCGGCCACACUGGAACUGAGACGCGGUCCAGACUCCUACGGGAGGCAGCAGUAGGGAAUCUUCCGCAAUGGGCGAAAGCCUGACGGAGCAACGCCGCGUGAGUGAUGAAGGUCUUCGGAUCGUAAAACUCUGUUAUUAGGGAAGAACAUAUGUGUAAGUAACGGUGCACAUCUUGACGGUACCGAAUCAGAAAGCCACGGCUAACUACGU
rnacentral:rRNA from 1 species